rnacentral:lncRNA from 1 species
CCCGCCGGCAGGUAGGGCGCCCCGAGGCCGCGACCGCCGCCCCCCGUGCCCUGCGCCUCAGCCGGGCUUCCGGGGGCCGCCGGCGGGCGGGGGCCGCGCCUCAGGCCCGGAGUCGCCCUGACGGACGCUUCCCCUCGCGCUCGCAUCUCCCUCAGGGCUGCCGCCCCCGGAGCCGACGGUGGGACACGGCUCUUUACCUUGCUGAGGCGUGACCGGGGUGUGACCCCGCCGCGUGCGCCCCGCUCGGGACGGCCCCUGGGCCUUCGCGGGGAGCCCUCGGGGGAGGGGCCGGGGCCGGGGCCGGGGCCGGGGCGCGCUCAGGGCCCGCAGUGUCCCUCGCGGCGGCGGCAGCGGCAGCACGAGGCUCAGCAGCAGGGCCCGACGGCGCAGAGCUCGCUCCCGCCACAAUCCCAGCCCAACUCGCGACGCCUUCAGUGUUGUUUUUAGAUUUUAUUUAUUCAUGAGAGAGGCAGAGACCCAGGUGCAGGGGGAGGCGGCUCCCCGCGGGGAGCGGGUGCGGACUCGAUCGCGGGCCCGGGGGUCACGGCCUGGGCCGGAGGCCGACGCCCCACCGCGAGCGCCCGCGCCCAGCCCAGGGUGCGCUGUUACACCACUAGCCCGUGAGGUCUUGUGCCUUGAGACUGUGCACGUAAGUAAGAGGUUAACGGACAUUUAGAUUUAAGUAAAUCGGUGAACCGGAGCCCAGUGUAGGGAUGGGUCAGCGUGGAUGGAACGGAUUAGUGCUCACCGGGCUGCAGCACGUGUUCUUCGUGAAUCCUGUAACUGGCCUCUCCAUACCCUGGAACUCGGAACUUCCUGAAAUCUAAAGUUUGUGACAGGAAAUUAUGACGAAGCCGAAUGGAGAUGGAGGAAACGGCGGGGUGAUAUUUCAUAGUUAGCAGGAGGAGGAGAAGUACGGUUUCUUAGAAGAACUGAAAAGUUCAACGUGGCCAGAAAGCCAGGAUGUAAUACAACUGGCAAGUAAUGCAGCCAGGUGGAGUUAAGUUUUUGGAGGGGGGAGAAGCGUGGCAGGAGUGGGCAGCGGAAGAUGAACUCAGAAGAGAGCAGUGUUUGGUGAGACAGGGCAGCAGAGGCCCCGAGGGCACAGCCAACAGCAGUGUCUCCCGAGGCGGAACAUGUACUUCUCUGCAACCCAGCCAGUGCACCUCAGGACCUUUGCCCCAGGGGAGUGAAAACAGGUUUACACAAAACCUUGUACGUAAAUGUUCAUUGUACCAUUUUUCAUAUUGGCCAGAAACUGCCAGGUGUCCUUCAGCAGGGGGAUGUCAAACAAACUGCUGUAGCCGUAUGGUUGGAUGAACCGCGAUGGAAUGAACCACUGACAUAUUAUACAGCUUGGGUGACUCUCCAGAGAAUUGUGCCGCGUGAAAAAAGCCAGGCCCAAAAUAAUACAUACUGUAUGAUUCCAUUUCUGUGACAUUUUUGAGUUCUAGAAAUGGAGAGUCGAUGAGUGACUGCCAGGGUUGGGAACUGGGGGCUGAGGGUUCUGGGAAGUGUGGUUAUAAAAAUGACAGGAGGGGCCCUCCUGGUGGUGGAGCUGCUCAGGGUCUUGACUGUGGUGGUGGAUACAUGAACUUCCUCGGGGUAAAACUGACCGAAGUGUGUACACAUCACACAGAAACAGGGCACUCUGAAUAAAAUCAGUGUCGGUGUCCUGGUUAUGAGAUUA